GAUGGGGUUCGAGUUGCGUCACGCCGCCUUCUUCCUCCGUUCCGGUCCCGAUUCAGAUGUCAAAGCAGGCGGGGAGUCGAGCCUUGUUUCUUUUCCGCCUCUUCCGCCAUGGUUCUGCCGCCAUCUCCACCGUUUGUGGAAGAUCAGCGAUUCAGCGCCGUUGUUUCGUUCGUGACGCUGCUGCUGUUGUCACGCAAUUUCCGCCGAGGCAGCAGGAGAUGCCGCUGAAAUCUGUCCUCUGCUCAAGAACCGGCUCAAGCCUCACUCUCUCCCUUUUUCUAUUGAAUUAUGGUAUUUCUAUAAUUGAUUAUGCAAGAGAUAAAACUAAGUUCGUGGUUUACUAAUGUAUCAAGAAAUUUCCUUGCUUGCCUCGUGUGAUAAGAAAAUAUAGCAUAAACUGAUUUAUGCCUAAAGAUCAUAUGAGUUUGCUAAGUCUCUUUAUGAAUAUACUCAUUGUAUGCUUAGUAUCCUUUAAUCGAUCAUGCUUGUUGGAUGAAAAACGAAUGGAUUGAAUGAGCUGAGCCUAGUGUUUACCUUGUCUAUUUGUGCUUGAUUGGCUGAUCUGUUUUCUUCUUCUUGGUGAAAAUUUGUUGGCAUAUACUGUUUGAAUAAGGAGAUCUCGGAGAUUAUAGAUGUUAUUUCGGGUGUUUUUUUCUGUGUGAAACUUGGUUUUGAUGUUGGCAUGAGCUUGCUGUAAACAUUCUGUUGGAAUAUACGAAUUGGAUUUUCUUAAACAGCUCCACUGGCGAUCUAUUGAGUAAGAAGGGAGAAGGAUUUGGUGGGGAGCAAAAGAUAAUGGAGUUGGUGGUGCACUAGUGUGGUGGGGA
rnacentral:lncRNA from 1 species